GGUUAAGCGACUAAGCGUACACGGUGGAUGCCCUGGCAGUCAGAGGCGAUGAAGGACGUGCUAAUCUGCGAUAAGCGUCGGUGAGGUGAUAUGAACCGUUAUAACCGGCGAUUUCCGAAUGGGGAAACCCAGUGUGUUUCGACACACUAUCAUUAACUGAAUCCAUAGGUUAAUGAGGCGAACCGGGGGAACUGAAACAUCUAAGUACCCCGAGGAAAAGAAAUCAACCGAGAUUCCCCCAGUAGCGGCGAGCGAACGGGGAGGAGCCCAGAGCCUGAAUCAGUGUGUGUGUUAGUGGAAGCGUCUGGAAAGGCGUGCGAUACAGGGUGACAGCCCCGUACACAAAAAUGCACAUAUUGUGAGCUCGAUGAGUAGGGCGGGACACGUGGUAUCCUGUCUGAAUAUGGGGGGACCAUCCUCCAAGGCUAAAUACUCCUGACUGACCGAUAGUGAACCAGUACCGUGAGGGAAAGGCGAAAAGAACCCCGGCGAGGGGAGUGAAAAAGAACCUGAAACCGUGUACGUACAAGCA
rnacentral:rRNA from 1 species